GCGCCGAGGCAGGCGGCGCGAGGCAGCCGGCGCCGCGCGGGGCGAGGAGGCUGUAAAGGGAAGUAAGAGCGCUGCACCGGGCCCCCGCUGCCCCUCGCCUGGCCGCGAGUGCGGGCGAGGUGGAGGGGAGGAGGCGCCCCCGGGCCCAGCCGGGGCGGCUGGCCGAGACCUGUCCACUCGCGGGUCUCGCCUUCCACAGCCCUGUAAGGAUGCUGAACGUAUUUGUGGGCUGCCGUCAGCCUCCAGUUUGGGUUAGUCUUUUUCACGCCUGGACAAGCGGUAUUCUCGAAAGGCACCUCAGGUGCGCAUAGCAAGGGGUCGCAGCCGUUGCAGACAGGCCAGCCAGCAACUGGUCAUUCAGGUUGUCCACUCCUCCGUUGUGAUACUUGGCUCUUAAUUUUCACAGACAUCAUCUGCUCAGACUAUGGAAACUUUAUCUCUGGCUAUUAAGAAACUGUGCAAUCAAGUAAACGCUGUACCUGAAAGGAUCUGCCAUCCAAACAAGGAAGAAAACAGCAAAAAUGUUAUACAGUGGUUCAAGUUAAAACUCACUUCGGCAAGUCUAAUUUCCCCCAGAUCUGCAUGAAAUGGAGUAAUUAACUGCAACUGUCUCCCUGAAGAGCUAUACUCUAUGUGGGCUCAGAUGAGGACAGGACAUUUGCAGAAAUUAAUACUGGAAAGAUUUCAGCAAAGACUGGAGAGGAGGAGCAAGAUUUUAAAAGUAGCCAUGCAUUAGGCAUGGGAAUUCAAGGGAGGCAGCAGCAGCUGACAGGCAAUCCAAGUGUAGAGGAUUAGUGGAUAAUGGAAAUUCCAGAAGAGAUCCCUUGCAACAACUGAGGAAAGCCAAAGUACUGGAAAUGCAGACUACAGCAUCAUCAAAUGAACGUCUGACCUGCUCAGCAAAAAAUAAGAAAUGCAGCCAGGGACUCCACAUUCAGCUACUGCCUCAUAUCCGAGCACACAGCAAUUAUACUAUCUGCCCAGCUAGUACAGAGCGCUGUAUGACAUCUUUACUUCAGGUGAUCCAGCACAUGCACUCCUUCAAGAGACAGCACCAAUGUCUGGUGGGCUUCCUGGGCCAGGUGGCAAAACACAAUACUUUGAAUAAGUUUACCUUGUGUUCUUUUUCAUGCUACCUUUGGAUGUAAUAAUACUAAUGGAGAGAGUUGACCCUCACAUUGCUUUUGGAAGGUCACUCCUAUUCCUACAAUUCACCUUUGAGGGAGCAAGUGUAGGUGAAGAUUUAUGUACUUUUUAUAUCUGUGCCAAGAAACUAUAAGGAAAAGGACAGGAAAACUCUAAAGAGAAGUCCUGCAGGAAAGCAUGGAGAAAGGACAGAAUGGUUCAUAGAGGAGAGAGGACAUCAUCUUUUAAAAUAAAGUUUCUUGUUUAAUGUGAGUUUUAACUACUGUCACACUGACAGCUGGAGUGCUGAAUAAGCUUGUUUGGGAUAUGAACUAGGAUUUGCAUGUGUGCAUGUGCUUAUGUAAUUUACAUAGUUUUUUUUUUUUUUUUUUUUUUUUUGAGAUACAUCACAAUUUGCAUCACUUUUUCUAAAGUGCUUGCAAUACACCAGAUGGAAUAAUUGUGUUUCUUGU